GGUCUCGAUAGAGGUGCGGUCUUUAUGAUUAAUUACGCUUGCCAUGGCUAAUGGAAUGAAGCGUCAUGAAAGGAAAGUUCGCCGAAGGAUUUUGAAUUGCCACCAACUUCCUGGGUUUAUUGCAAACAGCAAUAAAACUGUCAUCAUUCAUUUGAUGGAGUGCUAUCUAAGAA
rnacentral:ncRNA from 1 species